ACUACUCUCAAUUUCAAUCUUUUUGUUUGAAAUUGGAUUUGGAUGUUGUCGUGUGAACGACUGAUCCUAAAUGCAUUAGCGAUCUGCCUUUGAUCACAUGUGAUGUGAUAAGAAAAAGCAUUGCUUAGAUCAAGUGCUUAGGUUGCUUCUAAUCGUCGAAAGACAAUGACAUGUC
rnacentral:misc_RNA from 1 species